rnacentral:rRNA from 1 species
GACGAACGCUGGCGGCGUGCUUAACACAUGCAAGUCGAACGGAAAGGCCCUGCUUUUGUGGGGUGCUCGAGUGGCGAACGGGUGAGUAACACGUGAGUAACCUGCCCUUGACUUUGGGAUAACUUCAGGAAACUGGGGCUAAUACCGGAUAGGAGCUCCUGCUGCAUGGUGGGGGUUGGAAAGUUUCGGCGGUUGGGGAUGGACUCGCGGCUUAUCAGCUUGUUGGUGGGGUAGUGGCUUACCAAGGCUUUGACGAGUAGCCGGCCUGAGAGGGUGACCGGCCACAUUGGGACUGAGAUACGGCCCAGACUCCUACGGGAGGCAGCAGUGGGGAAUAUUGCACAAUGGGCGGAAGCCUGAUGCAGCAACGCCGCGUGCGGGAUGACGGCCUUCGGGUUGUAAACCGCUUUCGCCUGUGACGAAGCGUCAGUGACGGUAAUGGGUAAAGAAGCACCGGCUAACUACGUG